rnacentral:rRNA from 1 species
GAUGAACGCUGGCGGCGUGCCUAAUACAUGCGAGUCGAGCGAACGGACGAGAAGCUUGCUUUUCUGAUGUCAGCGGCGGACGGGUGAGUAACACGUGGAUAACCUACCUAUAAGACUGGGAUAACUUCGGGAAACCGGAGCUAAUACCGGAUAAUAUUUUGAACCGCAUGGUUCAAAAGUGAAAGACGGUCUUGCUGUCACUUAUAGAUGGAUCCGCGCUGCAUUAGCUAGUUGGUAAGGUAACGGCUUACCAAGGCAACGAUGCAUAGCCGACCUGAGAGGGUGAUCGGCCACACUGGAACUGAGACACGGUCCAGACUCCUACGGGAGGCAGCAGUAGGGAAUCUUCCGCAAUGGGCGAAAGCCUGACGGAGCAACGCCGCGUGAGUGAUGAAGGUCUUCGGAUCGUAAAACUCUGUUAUUAGGGAAGAACAUAUGUGUAAGUAACUGUGCACAUCUUGACGGUACCUAAUCAGAAAGCCACGGCUAACUACGUG